rnacentral:rRNA from 1 species
UACGUAGGGGGCAAGCGUUGUCCGGAUUUAUUGGGCGUAAAGAGCGUGUAGGCGGCCAGGUAGGUCCGUUGUGAAAACUCGAGGCUCAACCUCGAGACGCCGAUGGAAACCAUCUGGCUAGAGUCCGGAAGAGGAGAGUGGAAUUCCCGGUGUAGCGGUGAAAUGCGUAGAUAUCUGGAGGAACACCGGUGGCGAAGGCGGCAUCCUGGACCGGUAUUGACGCUGAGGAGCGAAAGCCAGGGGAGCAAACGGG